CCUACGGGAGGCAGCAGUGGGGGAUAUUGCACAAUGGGGGAAACCCUGAUGCAGCGACGCCGCGUGGGUGAAGAAGCGCCUCGGCGCGUAAAGCCCUGUCAGUAGGGAAGAAAAUGACGGUACCUGACGAAGAAGCCCCGGCUAACUACGUGCCAGCAGCCGCGGUAAUACGUAGGGUGCAAGCGUUAUCCGGAUUUAAUGGGUGUAAAGGGGGCGCAGGGGGAGUUGCAAGUGAGGAGUUAAAUCCCGGGGCCCAACCCCGGGACUGCCUGUGAAACUGGGUGGCGAGAGUGCGGGAGGGGCAUGCGGAAUGCGUGGUGUAGCGGUGAAAUGCGUAGAUAUCAGGAGGAACACCGGUGGCGAAGGCAGCCUGCUGGACUACAACUGACGUUGAGGCCCGAAAGCGUGGGGAUCGAACAGGAUUAGAUACCCCUGUAGUC
rnacentral:rRNA from 1 species